GCUUUCGUGGUGUAGUGGUUAACACGCUCGACACGUAAGCGAGAGGUCUGUGGUUCGAUUCCCGGGGAAGGUG
rnacentral:tRNA from 1 species